rnacentral:misc_RNA from 1 species
GCUGGGUUUGCCAAAAUUAGUGCAAGAUCAAUAUGAGGAUUACGAGCAGCAACAGCAAGUGCAAGGCAUCCCCCAAAAGAUUCUCCAAGAAGAUAUAUGGGACGUCUUGGAGCAUGGUGAUGCUCUGAUCUAACAGUUGCUUCAACCAGGUACACCAGGUCUGAGAAUGAUGUUCGAUCUGUAACUGGAACGUGGAGACACCAUAUAUUGAAGAUCUUUCCAAGUCUUUUGUGAUGCUUUAUAAGGCCAAGUCCAACACCAUCAAUCCCUGGUAAGUAAAGCAAUAGAGGGGAGUCUUUCAGAGGAGCAGCGCAGUCCAAGGGUGAAAACCAGCGUGGUGGCCCACCUUCGGAUCCGGACGCAAUCAUAUCCUUGCUCCAUUUCAUGAAAUCUUUCAUAUUCAAAGUAGUUGUUUGCUCUAGCUCAGAGGAGUCAACUAUGGACAUCGGUACUGUUGGCGGUUGCUGGCCGAUAGAGGCAGUUGAUCUCCCAGUAGUUGCAGCUGUAGAUGCAAUUUUGAAUCUUGCGGAGGUGAUGCGGAGGCAUGAGUUCCGACUUUGGAGAAGCGGCGAGACACCGGCCGCGGUGUAAGUGCCGGCGGAUAUAGCCUCCAUGGACAAAAAUCUAUCAAAAUGUCUUUCGCUUUU